UUCCGGUUGAUCCCGCCGGACCUGACUGCUAUCGGAUUGGUACUAAGCCAUGUGAGUCGUUGUAGCAAUACAAGGCAUACGGCUCAGUAACACGUAGUCAAUCUAACCUAUGGACGGGGAUAACCUCGGGACACUGAGGAUAAAACCCGAUAGAUCAUAAUGCCUGGAACGGUUUAUGGUUCAAAUGAUUCGUCGCCGUAGGGUGGGACUGCGGCCUAUCAGCUUGUUGGUGAGGUAAUGGCCCACCAAGGCUAUUACAGGUACGGGCUCUGAGAGGAGUAGCCCGGAGAUGGGUACUGAGACACGGACCCAGGCCCUAUGGGGCGCAGCAGGCGAGAAACCUUUGCAAUGUGCGCAAGCACGACAAGGUUAAUCCGAGUGUUUCCUGCUAAAGGAAUCUUUUGUUAGUCUUAAAAUCACUAUUGAAUAAGGGGUGGGCAAGUUCUGGUGUCAGCCGCCGCGGUAAAACCAGCACCUCAAGUGGUCAGGAUGAUUAUUGGGCCUAAAGCAUCCGUAGCCUGUUCUGUAAGUUUCCGGUUAAAUCCAUUAGCUUAACUAAUGGGCUGCCGAAAAUACUGCAGAACUAGGGAGUGGGAGAGGUAGACGGUACUCGGUAGGAAGGGGUAAAAUCCUUUGAUCUAUUGAUGACCACCUGUGGCGAAGGCGGUCUACCAGAACACGUUCGACGGUGAGGGAUGAAAGCUGGGGGAGCAAACCGGAUUAGAUACCCGGGUAGUCCCAGCUGUAAACGAUGCAGACUCGGUGAUGCACUGGCUUGUGGCCAGUGCAGUGCCGCAGGGAAGCCGUUAAGUUUGCCGCCUGGGAAGUACGUACGCAAGUAUGAAACUUAAAGGAAUUGGCGGGGGAGCACCACAAGGGGUGAAGCCUGCGGUUCAAUUGGAUUCAACGCCGGAA
rnacentral:rRNA from 1 species